UCAUGAAACCCUCUCAUUCCAAUUCUUUA
rnacentral:rRNA from 1 species